GCCGGAGUGGUGGAAUGGCAGACACGUCGGACUCAAAAUCCGAUGCCUUCACGGGCGUGCGGGUUCAAGUCCCGCCUCCGGUACCA
rnacentral:tRNA from 1 species